GACGAACGCUGGCGGCGUGCUUAACACAUGCAAGUCGAACGGAAAGGCCUCUUUCUGGUUGUACUCGUGUGGCGAACGGGUGAGUAAAACGCGAGUAACCUGCCCCUGACUUUGGGAUAACUUCAUUAAACAGGGGCGAAUACCGGACAGAAGAUCCUUUUGCACGUGAGGACUUGGAAAGUUUCGGCGGUUGGGGAUUGACUCGCGGCUUAGCAGCGUGUUGGUGGGGUAGUGGCUUACCAACGCUUUGCCGGGUCGCCGGCCUGAGAGGGUGAACGGCGCCAAGGGGACUGAGAGACGGCCCAGAAUGGUACGGGAGGCAGUAGUGGGGAAUCUUGCACAAUGGGUGGACGCGUGAUGAAGCAGCGCCGUGUGCGGGAUGACGGCUUUCGGGUUGUAAACCGCUUUCGCUGAUGACGAUGCACUGUGUGACGGUAGUUGGUCAAGAAGCACCGGCUAACUACGUG
rnacentral:rRNA from 1 species